GCCGACGGCGGGCGGACGGCAGGUCCCGGCCGGUGGCCGGGGCCACAACCGGCGCCGGCGGGAGGGUUCGGAUCCUUCCGCCGGCC
rnacentral:tRNA from 1 species